GUGAACCUAAAACUCACCCCAGGAAGCUCAGGGUGGGAGAAGAACCUGGACCAGGAAGCCAGUUUACAGUUUGUAAGAAAAGAUAUUGCAAUAUCCUGAUGUUUUAUUAUUCCAAGUAGCCAUAAAAAACAGGAUAAUUUAAUGGUUAUUAAUGUGAUGUAGUUUGACUAAACUCCAAGUACUCAUUUGAAGAUCCCAGGAGUCGUCUGAAUCUGAUAUAUGUGAGCUUUUUGCUGUAACAUCCAAUUUAUUAGCUGUAGGAUGAAAUGUGCUCGAGGUUUCCCAACACCACAGUGACCUUGUGGGCCGUCUGAGCUCCUCGCUGCUGCUUCAUUACAGAAGGAUGCUGGGUGAAGUGGGCGGAGUCUCGGAGAACGCCUGUGUCUGAACUUAAGGUGCCAAAAACCACCCGGAGAACAAACACCUGCAGAACAGCCAGGCUCAUAUUUUUUAUUUUAUUUUUUUUACAAAACCCAAGAUCUGUGCUGCUGGCACCAUUGAAACUGAUGUUUGGCAAUAGUGGCCAAAGGUUUGGCUACAGCAGCCUGACCAUGACUAUUGACCCUGUGGGGUCCCAGUGAACAGUUUGGUGGGAACAGAGGAGUCAAGGUCUGCAUUUAAUUCUGCAGCUGCAGUUUUGUUGUUUUGGGACACAAUCCGGGUUCGUACCCGGACUUCCCAUCAGACAGCGUCCUCUUGCGUCCACAGUUACUCCUCUUGGAUGUGGUCCAUCCUUCGUGGUGGUGUGCAGACAUCACCCUGGAAACCAUGGCUCUCGAUGCACCACAAAGACAUGCUGCCCUCGUCACAGACGCGCCAGCGAGACGAUGGCAACAAUUUACCCUCUUUUGCAGUUUGACACGUCUCCCGUUGCAUAUAGUGUAUUGCAAUAUUUUAAGUACAGCUGUGCUAUUCCUGUUGUAAUGCAACCUUCAUACUGAUGGUAUGUGUGAUCAGUGCAGAUUGGCCACCAGGCCAAGCAUAAACUGUUUCAGCUUCAUUGUCCUACCGCUGUAUGUCUCAGGCUAGUGAAAAUCAGGCAGUGGUGACUGGAUGAGCUCAUUGAACUUUUAAAGCGGCGUGUCGCUUUAAGAGCGCCAUGAGGCCGGUAUGCCCAGAAAGCAGAACGCGAGCAUGCGGGGGACGUCCCAUCACUUUGCCAUGCUUGUCUGUGUCCUAGUCACACCGCUAUUUCGAUUUCAUCCACCUGACAGCUGCCCCCCCCCCAGCUGUGGCUGAUUCCUGGACUGCUGAUUCAGCGAUGGCAAAAACAUGGCCGUCGCUGUUCAGAAGCAUAAAUACGGUCAUUUUCACACUGUUCCACACGUCUGGGCCGUAUUCUCCGCUUCCCUCCAGCCAUACCUGUGCUUUUUUAUGGCAUUCAGUCGUUAGCUGGCAGCCAGGAGCGACGGAUAUAAAACAGCAACAAGCCACAGCACAGAUUAGCCUGCUUGAGUUCCCUUAACGUUCUGCAAACCGGGGCCGUUUGUGUAAAUCGUCCUGGGCCUAAUUUCGUGAAGCUGCUUAUCCUGUGUCUAGGUUAUUGUACUCCGUUGUCCUGCUUCAAUUUCCUGCCCCGUCGAUAAGACGCACAGAGAAAUUCGACAUGAGGCCCACAGACCACCAUCUCCGAGCGGACAGAGGAGAACAGAGUGGCAGGGGGCCACCGCUGAAGCCAUCAUUUCCUUACUUACCCAAAGCAGCCGUACACCCCCCGAAAGAGCGAAAGAGAGACUCGUAAUUUGAAAUGUAAUCUAAUCCAGUGACUCCAUUGUUUAGCUGGUCACACUUUUUAAGUUUGAUUGCCGUAUUUUUGUUGUUUGAUUGUCAGUUUGGUCUGACCCCUUUCUCACCUUCGUCACUGCAAUCUCCCCCCCCCCUUUCCCUUAUCCAAAAACCGAACCAGCCGAACUGAAAAUGUUACAGCCAGACAAAUAAUUUCAUAACGUGUGGAAACUUUUAAUCUGAAAUGCAAAAACAUAAGCUUUAUCAUAUGUGGUGAGUAUAAUUAAUCAAUGCUGCUUAAUGAUGUAUAUCACAGACCCAGGCACCCCUCCUCCAGCUCCAGUGACAUUAACACAUUUUUAUCGCCCACAGAAAUAAAGAUUAUUUAUUUACUUACAGUAGAAGGGCUUGCAUCCACAGUGCAACAUUGGCAACAUUUUUCUGUAACUUACGGAAUAUAAUAACAUUUAAAUAACACCGGAAUAUGAGUCUAAGAUUACAGGAAGAAUUCCCUAAUAAGGCAUUACUGUCCCCCACGUCUGGUCUGUGAAAUAACCGUUUUUAAAAUGUAGCAUGAGUGUCCUUUGAAAUCGUGUAUGAAAGCAGACAAACUGAACGUCUUUUUUCCACUGCCGGUAAACAUAAUGAACUGUAAUAUUUUGCAGCAGAAAGAUUUGUUCUGCGUUUAAAUCUCUUCCAGUGCGCCGCUGGGUUUGUGGAGAUUUGCAUUUCGGGAAAUAAUCACUGAAUGAACUUCAAUUAAGGCAACAAUGGCUCACAGCUAGGGAAGGCAAGCGAAAGAAUGGGCCCAUCCAUUGUACUUCGUUAACUUGCAGGCAAAUUAAUUGAGUAUCACCUCCUGUACUAUGAAGUCUUCAUUUGCGGUACGUUUUUAGCGUUAAGAAUUUUGAGUAGCUUUGUGGGUGACUGCCACGCCUCACUCCUCCAAGAAUGGAAAUUUGAUUCCCUCCCCCGACAUGUGUGCGGAUGCAGGGUCUCCCCAUACAGUGUUGGGCGGUAAAUAAUUACAUGCAAGGGUGUUAUGUCAUGAAAUUACAAAAUAGAUGUAACUGUAAUUUGUUACAAUUACUGAGAAAAAAUAUGUAAUUAAAUUAUGCUACUAAUCGAAAUGUUGAUGAUUGCAAAGGGGAUUACAUCUGAAUAUAUUCUUUUUUGAAAAGGCUUAUAUGUAGAAUAUAACCUUCAGUUUAUUGCUUGGCAUCUUUUCACCUUGCAGACAGUGUGGGGCAGCAAAGCCACUGGAACAUGACGACUUUAUUGCCCAGUUUGAAACAUUUGUUAAAAAAGUAGUCAAAAAGUAAACAAAAGUAAUACGCUACUUUAAUUUGAUGAAGUAAUCCAAAUAGUUACAUUGUUUAUUAGGUUAUUAAUCUGUAAAUUAUUACAUAUCAAAAGUAACCUUCCCGCAAGUGUCCCCAUAGCGUGUGGUGACCUGACACAGUCUGAGUAGCCUAUCGUGUGUAUGGGGUGGAUUGUGCCCCUUUGCAUGCUGGGAGGGCCUCCAUGUUCACUGCAACCCUGUACUGAACGAGUAGGUAGAAAAUGGAUGUAUGGAGUGACUUCCUGCUGGAGGACUAGUUUUCAUGAUUUUUAAAUAGUAUAUUUCGGGGCUUAAUUUACAAUAAGUACGAUUAAAACCCCUUCCCAGUGAUUACUAUAAAUAAUCUAAUCAAUUUGGAGUUUUUUCUUUCAAUCAAUUACAUUCGUUCAUUUUCUAUAUGUCUUAUUUAAUAAAAAUGACUAUUUACAUGUGAGCCGUUUGUUGCGCUGAUUGAUUCCGCUCCGGGUCUGAGAAAAGGCCGCUGCUGGCAGACGCAGGUUCUGCUUCGUGGCACGGAGCCCCAAAGAGUCACCAUCCAUUGAUUCGGUUUUGAUUUGGAUGAGGCCACGAAGGCACCAGAUAGGUGACAUUUGCCGGCUGAGCCGCGAAGCCGAUCUUAAUCCCGGAAUGUGCCCUCACGCCAGGACGACAUUUCGGCAGGGUGCUGGCACACGCGCCACGCUUCUGUGCUUUGUCUCGGGCCUGCAAGGCUCCUUUGUCAUGAAAAAGAAUGAUGCACGAUAUUUAAUUCCAGUGACUCCAUGAUUGUUUUUGUUACAGUAGGUUCUGGCAGGAUACUUGGAGGGUUUCUGUAGAUGCUGUUACCCGUGUUGUGAUUGGUUACCUGCUUAGCAACCAACAAGCUGAACGUAAUGUGUGCUGUUAUCCAUCCAUCUUCCAUCAACAGCCGAUGCACUAUAAGGAUGGGGUGGGUCUGGGGGCUAUGCCAGGAAGCACAGGGCACCAUGCAGGGGACACCCAGGCACCAUGCAGGGGACACCCAGGCACCCAUGCAGGGGACACCCAGGCACCCAUGCAGGGGACACCCAGGAUGAGAUUGCAGCCCAUCACAUCGCACACGCAUGAUUACACCCUAAGGGUAACAUAGAGACAUCAACUGUAUGUCUUUGGACUUUGGGAAGAAUACCAGGAGGGAGCCUGUACAACAUGGAGAGAAGAGGAACACAGAGGGCAGGCAGCCCCCAGCGCUGCGGGUGUGAGAUUAUGGGAUGAGCCGCUAAGCAACUUCUACAGCACUUUCUAUAUUAUAUUUUAUAGCAGAAGCAAUUUCGUUUCUGCACUGAAAUCUGAGGCCUGGUUUGGGAUUUCACAUGCAGUUCUUUGGUCUCAAUCACGCUUCUGCACUGCAUGCUUCACCACGCCACUCUGUCACACUGUCACACUGCCACACUGCCCCCUGCACGCACAUCCAGGUGUUGGCAGGUGCAGCUUAUGGGAGUUUUAGUUGCACAAAAUGUUUUGAGGGCAGAAAGAAAAAUGAUUGGAUCGGAGUGAUAACUAAUCAGAUUGUAGAGGAGGUGGGUUCAAGCAACUGGUCCCGCCUCCUCUAGUUGCUUGGACCUACAUCUUCAUCAUUUGAUUGUUUAUCUCUCCAAACCAAUCAUUUUUCUUUAUGCCUUCAGAACAUCUUUGUGUAACUAAAACUGUAUGUAUUAGCCAGGUACUCGUUUGAAGAGAGCUUUCUAUCUAAAUUAAGUCGGGCUGAGAUGUAAUGGUGAAUCAAUGUUUCAUCCAUCCAUCUUCCUACUGCAUAUCCUGGAAAAGAUGACGGCCUUGUAGUCUCUCUCCAGACACAGGUAGCACAAGGCAGAGGUACACGCUGAACAGGCUUCCACUCAAUUGUAGGGUACAUACACACUAAGGGCAAUUAGAGAUGCCAAUUAGCCUAACUGCCUGUCGUUAGGCAGGGAAGGAACCAGAAUACCUGGAACAGAGCCACACAACACAAGGAUACCGGGUAAAAAUGGGGAAAGAGUGAGUACCUGUGGAGCCACUUUCCUGCUGAAACACUUCAAUCGAAAGUAAUAAAUAACACAGCGAAUAAACUCCCCACAAAACAGUGUGUAUCUAUGUAUGUUACAUAAAAUGCACGUUUUCUAAGAGAAUUUCUCUUGUAUUCAACUCUGUUUCUUUUAGUGUGUAAUUAUUUAACGCCCGGUGUAGGUUUAUGUAAAUACACAGAUGCAGUAGAUUCAUAUUCUGCUAGAUUUGGGAAGUAUUGUUUAUUGCUUAUCAGAUAAUUGAAUAUUCUGCACCUCGAUUAUUGUGUUCCACUUUGCACAGACGGCAUUAGUAGGUAUUCCGCUUGGCAGUCUGCAUUCCCAUAGUGAUGCUUCCUGCUUCACGAAGCAUAUUUUACACCUGAUGCCUAAUCGUGCUCUGAGACAGUCCAGGGAAAAUGUCCUUUGUAUGAUCUGUCCGGUAACCGGCACUCACACCUUUUCUGUGUUGCCACUCCUUGCCAUGUGGCCGCUACAAUGUUUGUCCCUGUUGGGCCCCCGUAGUGGACGUCAACCUGGUCAGGCGCCCAAGCCACUUUUCUUCCAGCCCCUGGCAGUGUCCCAAGCAGAUGGCCGGGGUGCAUCCGGCUCCACCGGGGAGACAUCGCUGGCUUGUGUCCAACGCCUCCUUAAAUCCAGCCCCACAGACCAGUGCGUGAAAGCAAUCGGUCAGCAGCUAACUCCUUGAUAACUAAAACAGCGAAGUUUUUAAUAUUCAUUUAUUCCAGAAAUAUAUUGAUACUUGAAUUUAUUUGAUGUAUUCCUUUAAAAAAUCCACUUAAGAGCAGGCAUGAAUUACUAAGAGUUUCUUUGUAACCUUGAAGCAUUUAAUACAAGAAUAUAUUAAAAAUGAAUUUUAAAUUAAAUUAUUGCACCUUUGUAAUUCAGGGAGUCAAGAAUGUGCUUUUUUGUCUGUAAGACAUUAUGUCAUUGUAUAUAAAUGCGGGUGGUUGUUAAUUAAGCUACAGGUGAUACGUAUCACAAUGGUAACAGUGCAAAAAAAUCUGUUCUAGAUCUCAUAUAAAACCUAAUAAAUACACAAAGUAU